CUGGCAGCAGGGGGGAGCGGAGCGGAGCCCGGGGCCUCGCUGGCAGCAGGGGGGAGCGGAGCCCAGGGCCUCGCCGGCAGCAGGGGGGGGCGGAGCCGAGCCCGGGGCCUCGCCGGCCGGAGGUGGGAGCGGAGCCUGGGGGCUCGACCUGUUGCACUCGCCCAGCUCCGGCACCGGUGAACCUGAUUCCAAACGUAGGUGACUCGGAUGUCUGUUUUUUUUUUAAAAUAAUGGGUGCAGGUGUCGGUGAACCUGAUUUCCCCGUCCUCUGCGAUGGAUAGCUGUGAAAUUUGGUGAUUUUUAAUGUGUGCAGGUGUCGGUGAACCUGAUUUCCCUGUCCUCUGCGAUGGAUAGCUGUGAAAUUUGGUGAUUUUUAAUGUGUGCAGGCCAUUGCAAGGUUGAAGCUCUUACCAGAAGCUAGAAUGUUGGUGUCCCUACUGGGGUGAGAUAGCUGAGGUCGUCAGCGAGAUGCCCGUCCUCCAGAAGUGAUUACUUCCCCAACACGACGCACUGUCAGCCGCACCUGAAGCAGUGUAGCUGGAUUGAAUGGACGACUUCUGCUACAGCCACGAAUAAGUCCGAAGAAGGGUGCUGACAUCAUCUAUCCACGUUCUCCAGAGCUGCUGCCUGACCCGCUGAGUUACUCCAGCACUUUGUGUCUUUUGAUACUGUUUUACUAGACAGGUGGAGGAAAUAAUAUCCCGAUGUGGCCACUGCAUCAGUGACAUUACCUCAAAUCUUGUGAAGACUGCAGAUCUAAAUCGAUCUUUGUCUUGCUGGUUAGGCUUAUUUUCACUCUAGGCCCCUGUCCAUUGGGGUGGAUUAAGGCUGCACUGUAUUGGAGAGGGUGUUGAUUCCCACCCUAGAUGGCUUUUACCUGAUCCAGUUACCUGUAAUCCAAAGCGCAUUCAUGCUACCAUGGUAGAAGCCAGCCUUGCAGUGUCAAGAGCCAUGGAAAUGGGUCCUUAGACCCAAUCUGCCCAUACCGACCAAGAUGUCCCAUCUAAGCUACUCAUAAAUGUAUUUUUAAAUGUUAUAGUACUUUCCUCAACUACCUCCCCUGAGAGCUUGUUCCAUAUACCCGCCAUCCGCUGUGGAAAAGUUACCCCUUGGAUUCCUAUUAAAUCUUUCCCCACUCAACUUAAACUUAUGCCCUAUAGUUCUUGACUCUGGGUAAAAGACUGCGCAUCUACUCUGUCCUGUCUUAUCUGCGGGUGCUGAUACAAAUUCCAGUGGCUUGGUGCAAAUUAUGUGUAAUAGCAAAGGCAGGUUGGCAACUGGGCUGUGGGAGCACUGGGUCUGUGCAUGGCAGCUGACAUUACCAAUUGGUAGGCUAAAUUGAUGCUACUUUAAACUGAUGCAAGUUGGCAUACGCCAGCUAUUCAAGGCUGUGCAACUUGAAUUGUACCAAAGCUGUGCCUUUGUGCUUUCUUUUUCAGAUGUGACAAUAAAAUAUGAAAUUACAGACAUGUUGCUUUCUAUGAUCUGAAGAGGUUUAAAUAAACUGUAAAUGAUGAUAAAUAUUAAAUUACAAUUAAAAUAGCUGAAAUAAA